rnacentral:rRNA from 1 species
GAUGAACCCUGGCGGCGUGCUUAACACAUGCAAGUCGAACGAAGCACUUUAUUUGAUUUCCUUCGGGACUGAUUAUUUUGUGACUGAGUGGCGGACGGGUGAGUAACGCGUGGGUAACCUGCCUUGUACAGGGGGAUAACAGUUGGAAACGGCUGCUAAUACCGCAUAAGCGCACAGCAUCGCAUGAUGCAGUGUGAAAAACUCCGGUGGUAUAAGAUGGACCCGCGUUGGAUUAGCUAGUUGGUGAGGUAACGGCCCACCAAGGCGACGAUCCAUAGCCGACCUGAGAGGGUGACCGGCCACAUUGGGACUGAGACACGGCCCAAACUCCUACGGGAGGCAGCAGUGGGGAAUAUUGCACAAUGGGCGAAAGCCUGAUGCAGCGACGCCGCGUGAGCGAAGAAGUAUUUCGGUAUGUAAAGCUCUAUCAGCAGGGAAGAUAAUGACGGUACCUGACUAAGAAGCACCGGCUAAAUACGUG